rnacentral:rRNA from 1 species
GAUGAACGCUGGCGGCGUGCUUAACACAUGCAAGUCGAACGGUGAACGAGGGAGCUUGCUCCCUCCGGAUCAGUGGCGAACGGGUGAGUAACACGUGAGCAAUCUGCCCUGGACUCUGGGAUAAGCGUUGGAAACGACGUCUAAUACCGGAUACGAGGCGUGGGGGCAUCCCCAACGCCUGGAAAGAACUUCGGUCCAGGAUGAGCUCGCGGCCUAUCAGCUUGUUGGUGAGGUAACGGCUCACCAAGGCGACGACGGGUAGCCGGCCUGAGAGGGUGACCGGCCACACUGGGACUGAGACACGGCCCAGACUCCUACGGGAGGCAGCAGUGGGGAAUAUUGCACAAUGGGCGCAAGCCUGAUCCAGCCAUGCCGCGUGAGUGAUGAAGGCCUUAGGGUUGUAAAGCUCUUUCACCGGGGACGAUAAUGACGGUACCCGGAGAAGAAGCCCCGGCUAACUUCGUGCCAGCCGCCGCAGUAAAAC